UACGUAGGGUGCGAGCGUUGUCCGGAAUUACUGGGCGUAAAGAGCUCGUAGGUGGUUUGUCGCGUUGUCCGUGAAAACUUGGGGCUUAACUCCGAGCUUGCGGUCGAUACGGGCAGACUUGAGUUCGGCAGGGGAGACUGGAAUUCCUGGUGUAGCGGUGAAAUGCGCAGAUAUCAGGAGGAACACCGGUGGCGAAGGCGGGUCUCUGGGCCGAUACUGACGCUGAGGAGCGAAAGCGUGGGGAGCGAACAGG
rnacentral:rRNA from 1 species